rnacentral:rRNA from 1 species
AUUGAACGCUGGCGGCAGGCCUAACACAUGCAAGUCGAGCGAGUGGCGGACGGGUGAGUAAUGUCUGGGAACCUGCCUGAUGGCUGGGGAUAACUACUGGAAACGGUAGCUAAUACCGCAUACCAUCGGAUGUGCCCAGAUGGGAUUAGCUAGUAGGUGGGGUAAAGGCUCACCUAGGCGACGAUCCCUAGCUGGUCUGAGAGGAUGACCAGCCACACUGGAACUGAGACACGGUCCAGACUCCUACGGGAGGCAGCAGUGGGGAAUAUGGCACAAUGGGCGCAAGCCUGAUGCAGCCAUGCCGCGUGUAUGAAGAAGGCCUUCGGGUUGUAAAGUACUUUCAGCGGGGAGGCGUUACCCGCAGAAGAAGCACCGGCUAACUCCGUGCCAGCGGCCGCGGUAAUAC